AAUCAGGAGCUGCAGGAGAAGAUCUGGACGCCACAAAAGGACCUGCGGUCUCUGAUCCGGUUCUGGACACUCUGGAGUUGCGUGAGAACAUCUGGACGCCACAAAAGCCUUUGGAGAAGAAGAAGAGGGUGUGUGUGUGUGUGUCUUUGCUUUUGAAGAAGAGAAGAAGGCCUCAACCACAUCCUUCAUAAGUCAAAUCGACAGGAGCUGCAGUCUCUGAUCCGGUUCUGGACACUUUGGAGCUGCAGGAGAACAUCUGGACGCCACAAAAGGAGCUGUGGUCUCUGAUCCGGUUCUGGACCCUCUGGAGCUGCAGGAGAACAUCUGGACGCCACUAAAGCCUUUGGAGAAGAAGAAGAGGGUGUGUGUGAGUGUGUGUGUCUUUGCUUUUGAAGAAGAGAAGAAGGCCUCAACCACAUCCUUCAUAAGUCAAAUCGACAGGAGCUGCGGUCUCUGAUCUGGUUCUGGACACUAUGGAGCUGCGUGAGAACAUCUGGACGCCACAAAAGGUGAGUGUCAUGAUUGUGAUUGGCUGCUGAGCAAUGUGCUGUUGCUAAGAUCAAGAUGCUGUGCAACAUGGAGUUUAGCGGAGAGCAAACUGGACCUCAUGCACGAGUCCUUCAUAAGGGAUCCAAUCAGCAUCAGGAAAAGAAGAGGGUGCAAGUUAAGGACAUGGGAUGGGACUUGAAGUGCGCCAACAGAAAGUCAGGAAAAGGUUACAGGUUGAGCAGAUGGGAGAGUGUGUGUGUGUCCAAAUCCUGUCGACCAAUCAGAAGCUGCGGUCUCUGAUCCGAUUCUGGACACUCUGGAGCUGCAGGAGAACAUCUGGACGCCACAAAAGGUGAGUGUCAUGAUUGUGAUUGGCAAUGUGCCGUUGCUAAGAUCAAGAUGCUGUGCAACAUGGAGUUUAGCGGAGAGCAAACUGGACGUCAUGCACGAGUCCUUCAUAAGUGAUCCAAUCAGCAUCAGGUGGAAUGUUGAGGGUGCAGGUUAAGGACAUCGCAGUGGACCUGGAGUGAGUGUGUGUGGAGGACUCGACCACCAGAAGAUAUUUGAGCUGCGGUCUCUGAUCUGGUUCUGGACACUCUGGAGCUGCAGGAGAACAUCUGGACGCCACAAAAGGUGAGUGUCAUGAUUGUGAUUGGCUGCUGAGCAAUGUGCCGUUGCUAAGAUUCAGAUGCUGGGCAACAUGGAGUUUAGCGGAGAGCAAACUGGACCUCAUGCACGAGUCCUUCAUAAGUGAUCCAAUCAGCAUCAGGUACCAAUAUCAUGUGUGAACAAGCUUGUGUUGUGGUGCUGAAGCCUGAAGUGAUGAUAUGGACAGCUUUUUAGCCCUGUUCCUGGGCAGUGACAACUUUCACUCUGACAUCAGGCAACAUGUCUUUAUCUGGAAGACUGAGAUCAGUAGCUUAAUGACAUUUAAUGAUCAUGUUACCUGUUGUGUGUGUGUAUGUGUGUAUUUGUGUCUUUGUGUGUUUUAUAUGAUGUGUGGGCAUAUGUGGAUCCAAUUCACUUCAAGCUACGGCCAAAUGGUAACACAAGGUAACACACACACACACACAUUGCUCACACACACAGAGACACUCAGAUACUCACGCAGUGUGCAGCGACAUCAGUUACAUGCAUCUGAUAUUAGGCAACAAUUUUAUCUUGUAAUUUGACAGUUUUAUUUUCUAAUUUGACAGUUUUAUCUUGUAAUUUGAAUCAUUAACACUUAACUUAAUGACCAUUUAGCUACCAUACUGUCACAGCAUUCAGGGUUUGUGUCAACUUGAGGGUUAAGGGCCAGCAAAAAGUUAAGGUUUGUGUGUGUUUGAGAGAGAGAGAGAGAUAGAGAGAGAAAGAGAGAGAGAGGCACCUAUGGUUGCCAUGAAGCAAAAUAAUUUUCCCUUUGCUCAAUCAAUAAAUCAAAACUGACCUUUUCUUUCACUCUCUCAAUCAUAGAUGAAUGUGUGUGUGUGUGUGUGUGUGUUUUUGGAGAAGAAAAGGUUUCAGAUUGAGCAGAUAGGAGAGUGUGUGUGUGUAAGGAUCCUGUCUUGUGUUCCUUGUCUAGUGUUUUUCCGUCAUGUCUGUUCCUCUUGUGUCUUCCUGUUUGCUUUGUUUACUUCC